UACGUCCAAUGUGGGCCUCGAACUCAUGACCCUGAGAUCAAGUGUCAGAUGCUCUCCCGACUGAGCCAGCCAGGCACCCCCACCCUGCUUUAUUUUUCCUCACAGCACUUACCGCAAUUGACAUUGGUUGUCUGAGACCGUCUUCAUUUCUCUUUUCCUUUGGAAGGAUAAUUUCACUGGAUCCGGAAUUCUAGAUUGGGACGUAUUUUUUUUUCAACACUUUAAACAUUUCAUUCCACUUUAAUCCUGCUUGCACAGUGUCUAAAGAAGGUCUGAUGUAGUUCUUAUCCAUUUUCACAGGUGAAACAUUUUUUUCCUUCUGGCUUCUUUCAAGAUGUGUUCUUUGUGUUGAUUUUUCUGCAGUUUGAACAUGGAGAAUGUAAAUUCAUGAGGAUGGAGACUUUGUCUAAUUCACUGCUUUAUUCCCACUGUCUGGAACAGUCUCUGAAGCUGGUGGCGUUCGUUCAGAGUUGGCAGCUGCAGUUUCUUGGAAGAACAGCAAACACCACUGACUUUGGAGCUACGUGCAGGCUUCACAUGCAUUGACUCCUGAGCGCCUCCCAGGCUCUUUGAGCUAAGUGUCAUUAUCCCCAUUUCUGAGAUGAGGAGACUGAGGAACAGGGAGGUGAGGCACUUGGUUCAAAGUCACACAGAUACCAAGGGGUAGAGCUGGAAUUUGAGUUUGGAAGAGUGGCCCCAAGUGCAUGAGCUUCUGUGAGCUCAAUGUCUGACUUGUGCCUCAUUUACUUGACUUUUUCCAUGUAGGUGUAACUUAGGCGCGUCAGUGCCCUCCUCCCAGAUGUACGGCUCGGUACGUUUCUCUGUGCACCGUAUCUCCGUGACGGCUGCCCAGUCCGGGGCUCGCAUCUGACCAGUGCCUCCCAGGCCUCCUGGUGCCCCUUUCAGUCACUUGCCCCCAAAGCUGCCCCUCGCUGGAUCUUUAUCACUAAUUGAUAUUGGGAAGGAUGGUCUUUUAUUCUAUCCUCUCCACUUCUUUCAA